GUGGACUUCAGCCAAGUUUGAACUUUAUUUCCAUUUUUUUUUUUUACUGGAGAGAUUGUUCUGAAAGAUGCAAUCCUAUCUCAUUUAAAGUUUUAUUCUUUUUUUUUUCUGCGUAGGUGUGAAGCUGCCUUGGACUUACAUAUUGUUCUAAGACAGUGCAGGCAAAGGACCUGCUAGUAGAAACUUGCCAUGGUACCUGUUUUCGGUACAUUCUAUAUGGGAUAGAUCCUCAUAAAUGCAGUGUAAACAAGAUCCAGUGUGCUCUGUGAAAAUGAAGUGCCUUCCUGUCUUGGGGACAACUCAGCCUACCCAGCUCUCUGGAGAAACAGAGCCAGAAAGCCCCAUCUUUGAAUUAUGGUACAGAGUACCUGCAGACUUAUUUUUAGGGUAUUCUCAAUGUGAACAGCCUUUUAGAUUCCAAGUGAAUACUGGAUUAAAAAUCUCUCACCCAUUAAAGGAUUAUAUUUUGUCUUUCUUUUUUUUAUCCCCGACGCUAGAUGAAGUGCCUGGCACACAGUGAGUGCUUAAUAAGUAUGACUGAAUGACUCUCAUGUUCAAUUGUUUAUAUAGGCACAUGAUAGGAAGAUGGCAUUAAGGAAGCAAAUGCCUAGUACCAUACACUUUAUCUUAUAUGAGGACCCAUGACUGACAUUCAGAUUGUACUUUCAGGUUUUCAAAGUGCUUACACCGAUGAAUCUCAG
rnacentral:lncRNA from 1 species